rnacentral:rRNA from 1 species
CGGGGGAGCAAGCGUUGUUCGGAUUUACUGGGCGUAAAGGGCGCGUAGGCGGCCACUGCAAGUCAGUUGUGAAAUCUCCGGGCUUAACUCGGAAAGGUCAACUGAUACUGCAGGGCUAGAGUGCAGAAGGGGCAACUGGAAUUCUCGGUGUAGCGGUGAAAUGCGUAGAUAUCGAGAGGAACACCUGCGGCGAAGGCGGGUUGCUGGGCUGACACUGACGCUGAUGCGCGAAAGCCAGGGGAGCGAACGGGAUUAGAUACCCCGGUAGUCCUGGCCUUAAACGAUGGAUGCUUGGUGUCUGGAGUUUUAUAGUCUCCGGGUGCCGUAGCUAACGCGUUAAGCAUCCCGCCUGGGGAGUACGGUCGCAAGACUG